rnacentral:misc_RNA from 1 species
GAUGAAGAACGUAUCGAAAUGCGAUACGUAAUGUGAAUUGCAAAUUCAGUGAAUCAUCGAGUCUUUGAACGCACAUUGCGCCCCCUGGUAUUCCGGGGGGCAUGCCUGUCCGAGCGUCAUUGCUGCCCUCAAGCACGGCUUGUGUGUUGGGCCCGUCCUCCGAUCCCGGGGGACGGGCCCGAAAGGCAGCGGCGGCACCGCGUCCGGUCCUCGAGCGUAUGGGGCUUUGUCACCCGCUCUGUAGGCCCGGCCGGCGCUUGCCGAUCAACCCAAAUUUUUAUCCAGGUUGACCUCGGAUCAGGUAGGGAUACCCGCUGAACUUAAGCAUAUCAAUAAGCGGAGGA